AAAGAAUAUCCUUAGCUAAUGAUGUCAUUGUAUUUGAGUUUUCUGUUAAGAAGCCACCAAAUUUGAAGAAGUUCAUUCUUGAUUUAUCUGUAAAAGUCUGUCUUAACGAUAAAUCUGACUGCUUUCCCAACGUGAAAGUAUUUGACAAUACAGAGAUUCCCCAGCUUGUUUGUGAUAUGGAAGCUACUAUUGAUCUGAAAGACUUUUCUUUAACGGAUUGGGCGGACAACUUGGGAGUUAAUACCACAGGUUUGAUGCAGUCGUCUUACAUCAGACUUUUGCUACAACAGCUCGGACUAGAUACUCGAUUGAAGUCUCCACCAUGCAGUCAUGGAGACGAUUUGUAUUCCAGUUCUUCAAAUGGCUGGA